CUAGGAAAGCAUGAGGCCCUAUGUACUCGUGUGCAUUAACCCCCAAGAUGGUGUCGGAGGAGGCAGAGCACAAACCCAACUGUGAAGGAGAUUGGAGCUGGAAUCGAGUGAGUACACAACGGGUUUUUAUUAAGACUUUUAAUGCCAGGGAGGGCGCGAAAGAACUAUAGUGUGAGGAAUACAGAUUUAGAAUCCCUUUAACUGCAAUGCUUGAUUUUUCAUGCUUCCAGAUUGUGGAGCAGAUACCACUUAUCACAC